AAUUUGGUAGAUCAGAGUGAAAAACGAUUGGGAGACUCAUUUAGAGUAUAUAAAUAUUUUUUGUUAAAAAGCAAAAAUGAGGCUAGAGCCAUUUUCAUUUAUGAUGAUUUAAAUAUUAAGAAAGCCAAUAAAUUGCAUAUACAUAAAGAAGAACAUGAUGUCGAUAUUUUAAAUAUAACAAAAAAUUUGGAUCAUAUAUAUUUAUUAGAUGAAUCAAGUACAUUUAGUGAAUCAUUGUUUAAAGAACGAAAAAUAUUUUCUUUGAAUAAAGACUGUUCAGUUACAAAUUAUGUUUUCACCAAAUUUGUGUUUGAGAAAAAUAUUGAAAAAACGGACCCCGCGGAGAUAUUGUCUCUUUUGCUAAACAAUGAGCUACAUAUUAAAAAUGAAAAUGUAGAAGUUGUAAAAAAUGAUAAACACCUGGAGACUUAUAGCAAAGGGAACAAUGGACAAGUCAAGACACUACUUUCUAGCAGAAAAAAUAAUCACCCACAAUCUUUUGUUCAAUUUAUUGGUAUAUUAGCUGGUAUAGCAAGUUUAGUUGGUGCAUUACCAGGUGCGUUUUCUGCUAUAUCUUCAGCGUUUACCUCUAUAACAAGUCCAUCACCAGAAAAUUUUUUAACUGAAGAAGUUCCGAAUCUUCCUAAUUAUGAAGAUACCAUAAAGAAAUUACCAGCUAUAAUAGAUGAUCAUGUUGAUCAGAUUAAACAAGUUGGUAAAGAUACAAUUGAUAAAGUCGGACUAGAUCAAGUUGUAAGCGAUAUUAAAAAAAAAAUUGCUACGAAACACAAUGAUAGCGAAGAGGAGGAUGACGAAGAGGUGGAUGAGGAUGAUAAAGAGGAGGAUGACGAAGAGGUGGAUGAGGAUGAUGAAGAUGAGGAUGACGANNNNNNNNNNGAUGAGGAUGACGAAGAGGUGGAUGAGGAUGAUGAAGAUGAGGAUGAUGAAGAGGUGGAUGAGGAUGAGGAUGAUAAAGAUGAUGAAGAUUAAGAUCAUGAAGAUGAGGAUAACCAGAACAAUUAUAACAAAUACAUGUAUGGUAAAUACCCGUCUGAUAAACGCACAUAUGGCUAUUAAAUAAGAUAGUAAAUAUGAUUAAAACAAUUAAUAAAAAUAAUGGCCGUUAACA
rnacentral:lncRNA from 1 species